UACGGAGGAUGCAAGCGUUAUCCAGAUUUAUUGGGUUUAAAAGGGUGCGCAGGUUGUUUGAUAAGUCAGUGGUGAAAGUCUGUCGCUUAACGGUAGGAUUGCCAUUGAUACUGUUGGACUUGAAUAUGGAUGAGGUAGGCGGAAUGUGUAGUGUAGCGGUGAAAUGCAUAGAUAUUACACAGAACACCGAUUGCGAAGGCAGCUUACUAAUCCAUCAUUGACGCUGAGGCACGAAAGCGUGGGGAUCAAACA
rnacentral:rRNA from 1 species